GACGAACGCUGGCGGCGUGCCUAAUACAUGCAAGUAGGACGCAGUUGCGAACGGGUGAGUAACGCGUAGGUAACUACCUAUUAGAGGGGGAUAACUAUUGGAAACGCUAGCUCAUACCGCAUACUAGUAGAUGGACCUGCUGUGUAUUAGCUAGUAGGUAGGGUAAUGGCCUACCCAGGCAACGAUACAUAGCCGACCUGGAAGGGGGAUAGGCCCAACUGGGACUGAAAAAAGGGCCAGAAUACGACGGGGGGCAGCCGGAGGGAAUCUUCGGCAAUGGGGGGAACCCUGAACGAGCAAAGCCGCGUUAGUGAAGAAGGUUUUCGGAUCGUAAAGCUCUGUUGUUAAGGAAGCGGUACUUAACCAGAAAGGGACGGCUAACUACGUGCCAGCCGCCGCGGUAAUAC
rnacentral:rRNA from 1 species